CGGGUGGAUCCGCAAAGUCGACCCGGGGAAUUCAACUUGCCGUUCGGGCGGCGGACGUUGGGUAAGGGAUCCGUAAAGACCCUCCUGGCGUUCGGCUGUCGUCGGCGCGUGCACUUUCCUCGGGUAGAGCGCAACGACCGGUUCUGGGGCGGUCAUAAGCCGGUCGGGAAGGUGACCUGCCCUUCGGGGUAGGUGUUAUAGCCCGACCAGGUCGACUCGUUCCGGGACCGAGGAUUUGCCGCAUUCUAUUGCUCCUGGCUCUCUUCGUGCGGUCGACUGGGGAUGCACUGCUUGCAGUUCUCUCCGACUGCGUGCGUUGAUCAGCUGGGAAGCACGGGGUGCUUCGGGUCAGUUGCGAAUCGGUCGGUCCUCCACCCGACCCGUCUUGAAACACGGACCAAGGAGUCUAACAUGUGCGCGAGUCAUGGGGUUUUGUACGAAACCUAAAGGCACAAUGAAAGUGAAAGUUUCUCUCCGAGGAGCUUAGGUAAGAUCCAAUUUUUUUGGCGCAUUACCGGCCCGUCCCAAUUCCUUUCGAGUGAAUGGGGCGGAGCAAGAGCGUACACGUUGGGACCCGAAAGAUGGUGAACUAUGCCUGAGUAGGACGAAGCCAGAGGAAACUCUGGUGGAGGUCCGUAGCGAUUCUGACGUGCAAAUCGAUCGUCAAACUUGGGUAUAGGGGCGAAAGACUAAUCGAACC
rnacentral:rRNA from 1 species